UACGGAGGAUGCAAGCGUUAUCCGGAAUUAUUGGGCGUAAAGCGUCCGCAGGUGGCACUUCAAGUCUGUCGUCAAAGACUGGGGCUUAACCCCGGAAAGGCGGUGGAAACUGAAGCGCUAGAGUGCGGUAGGGGUAGAGGGAAUUCCCGGUGUAGCGGUGAAAUGCGUAGAGAUCGGGAAGAACAUCGGUGGCGAAAGCGGAUCUCUGGGCCUUGCCUGACGCUGAGGCGCGAAAGCUAGGGGAGCGAACAGG
rnacentral:rRNA from 1 species